AAAAACUGUAAUAUAAGUUUAUCUCAUUCAUCAAAGUAAUGGUUCAAGAAUAAAAGCCACAAAAAUACUUUCUCAAAGGCGAAAAGAAAUAUGAUACUCAGAAGUCACUCUGGAAAAAAGGAAAAAAGAAAAAGCACUGAAAUUCAGCCAAACAUGAACUAUAUCAAAGAAAGAAUUCAACAAUGGAGCAGCUAUGGCAAAAUGGCUUAAGCACUGGCCAUUCCUGUCGUCUUCAAUAUGAGUUCUUCCAUGCUUACGAAGUGCCUAAAAACAGGCGGCAGGAGAAAAAAUGAAUGCUGAGCAAAGAGGGAAGACCCUUAUGAAACCAUCAGAUCUCGUGGGAACUCACUUACCAUCAUGAGAACAGCAUGAAGGAAACCGCCCCAUGAUUCAAUUAUCUCCAACUUGUCUAGCCCUGGACACAUGGGGGUUAUUUCAAUUCAAGGUAAGAUUUAGCUGGAGACACAGAGCCAAACCCUACCAGUGCAUAAAAUUGGAAUAACAUUUUCUGUCCUUCUGGUCUCUCUUGCUUGUUGCCAUUGUCAAGUAAGGUAAUAGAUGGAAAAGCACUCUGAAAAUCACCAAAUGAAUGCAUUUCAUUGUUACUUAUUAGGAUAAUUUCUUGGGAUGGUUGUUACAAUUGUUAAAUUUUGUGGUUAUUCUGAUUAUUUUUGAAUAUUAAUCAACUUUAAUUCUUCAUUAUAAACUUCUCUAAAAAUGUUAUUUUUCAGAAGCAUUGUAUUGUAGGAUAGAACAGAGAUAUUCUUGCAAGCAAAGGAGACCAGUCCUGCUCAUUUUAGACAAAAUAGCAUUGAGUGUCCACAGGAUAAGUAGAAACCCAGAUGACAGGGUUUAGGGAAUAGACAAAUCCACGGAAGCAGGAAAAAUACACUAAGCAUCUGGAGUAGUUUGCCAUCACUUAUCACUGUUCCUGUGUUGAAUUACCUCUAACUAGGAGUAGGUAAUUUUCAAAAUAUAUAUCUCUUUGUAUAAUACAAACACUGAAUACUCUGAAUGGUCUGUAACUAAAAACCUAGUAGGGCCAUACUGGUGCAUGACUGCUGGAUAUUAAGUUUUGCCUCCAAUUAUUUCUCAUGCUUCUGCAUCUCUAGCUCAAGACCAAAGUUCUAUCCAAUAGCAGUGCAUUAGAUGAGCUUGGGUCACUUGUGGUUAAAUAAUGGGAAAAGGCUUAGCGAGUUUGUAGCCUGCAGCUUCUGUCAGAACAGAAAAGAUGCAAUCUCUGACCAAGACUGCACACAGAAGGUAUUUGGGCGGCUAAUAGUGAAGGGAUUUAAUUCUUAAUAGCUAAAAUAAAAAGUGUUCGCAGAAAAUGUGGUAUUUACUUCCUAUCUUGUUUUUCUCAUGUGUAUUUUGGUAAUUGAAUUACCUGUUAUUUCUCUAAAGUACAGAAUAGUAAUGCUGAGGUGACAGGUAUAUAUGCAAGACAUGGAAUUUUAGAUGUUGAUACUUAUUAGCAUUGAUUUAUUCAAUGUUAUUUCACUGAGCAAACAUUAAAAUUUAAUAAGACAAGGUACAGAAAUACAUGUGACAGAUAAUAUUUAGCAUGUCUGUUUCAGAGAUAGAAACAUCCUUUAAUUUAAGUAAAGAAAUGGAAUUCCACAGAGAGGCCUUGACACAUUUGUAAGUGUAG
rnacentral:lncRNA from 10 species